rnacentral:tmRNA from 1 species
CUGAGCCGGGGCCAAUUGAUUUAAGCGGUCGCUAAUGAAUACUGCUACUACAAUUAGGCACUGGCUGCUUAGAUAAGCAACCACGGUACCAGGGAGAGAGCUUCCCUAUCUCUGAGUUACCGUCAUUAGGGAAGAUACCUGUAAGGGGAUGCUUAGGACCUUCCAGGGAACUCAAUUCUGAGCUGGCGAGAAAAGAAGCCCGCUCCGGGGCGGCUUAUCUUGCGAGAACAAAUCCGGAGCUACGCUCGUAGAGACUGAAACUGGGUUAUUUACGGACGAGGGUGCAAUUCCCUCCGCCUCCACCA